UACGAAGGGGGCUAGCGUUAUUCGGAUUGACUGGGCGUAAAGGGCGCGUAGGCGGUUUGUACAGUCAGACGUGAAAUUCCUGGGCUCAACCUGGGGGCUGCGUUUGAUACGUGCAGACUUGAGUUCGGAAGAGGGUCGUGGAAUUCCCAGUGUAGAGGUGAAAUUCGUAGAUAUUGGGAAGAACACCGGUGGCGAAGGCGGCGACCUGGUCCGAUACUGACGCUGAGGCGCGAAAGCGUGGGGAGCAAACAGG
rnacentral:rRNA from 1 species